UACGAAGGGGGCUAGCGUUGCUCGGAAUUACUGGGCGUAAAGCGCACGUAGGCGGCUUUCUAAGUCGGGGGUGAAAUCCUGGAGCUCAACUCCAGAACUGCCUUCGAUACUGGAGAGCUCGAGUCCGGGAGAGGUGAGUGGAACUGCGAGUGUAGAGGUGAAAUUCGUAGAUAUUCGCAAGAACACCAGUGACGAAGGCGGCUCACUGGCCCGGUACUGACGCUGAGGUGCGAAAGCGUGGGGAGCAAACAGG
rnacentral:rRNA from 1 species